GGGCCAUAGCUUAGUGGGAGAGCACCUGUGUUGCAUGCAGAAGCUCCCGGGUUCAAACCCCGGGAUCUCCA